AGCGGUGUGGCACAGUAGGCAGGGAACUGGCUUUGUGACUCAGAGGUUGCGGGUUCGAUUUUCCCGCUGUGCCGCUG
rnacentral:tRNA from 1 species